UAGGUAGGCGUAGGUGACCCUAUAGGGGCAGAAGCUACACAUUCUAUCUGUGCUGGUAUGGGUGGUGUGCGUACUGCCGGAGAUCUGGUUUUGCGCAUGG
rfam:Eubacterium sp. 68-3-10 unitig_0:quiver, whole genome shotgun sequence.